AUUGAACGCUGGCGGCAUGCUUUACACAUGCAAGUCGAACGGCAGCGCGGGGCAACCUGGCGGCGAGUGGCGAACGGGUGAGUAAUACAUCGGAACGUACCCAGAAGUGGGGGAUAACGUAGCGAAAGUUAAGCUAAUACCGCAUACGUUCUACGGAAGAAAGUGGGGGACCUUCGGGCCUCAUGCUUUUGGAGCGGCCGAUGUCUGAUUAGCUAGUUGGUAGGGUAAAGGCCUACCAAGGCGACGAUCAGUAGCUGGUCUGAGAGGACGACCAGCCAAACUGGGACUGAGACACGGCCCAGACUCCUACGGGAGGCAGCAGUGGGGAAUUUUGGACAAUGGGCGCAAGCCUGAUCCAGCAAUGCCGCGUGAGUGAAGAAGGCCUUCGGGUUGUAAAGCUCUUUUGUCAGGGAAGAAACGGCUGAGGUUAAUACCUUUGGCUAAUGACGGUACCUGAAGAAUAAGCACCGGCUAACUACGUGCCAGCAGCCGCAGUAAGAC
rnacentral:rRNA from 1 species